rnacentral:lncRNA from 1 species
CGUGCCUUUUCUCCCGUACAGGCAGAAGGCGUCAGGCGGAAGGCUGUUCUCGGAGCACUCCUGGUGUCCGAUGCUGACAGCCGGCUGGUCCCCCAUCCCUCUCGGAAAGCUCUGGCUUUUGUGGUGGAAUCCGUCUUGCAGGUGACCCAGCGUAGGGGAAAGAACCAGGAGACCCAUCCUGAGCGGAGYUGUGGAGACCGAAAGCAUCCUGAGGAGAAACGUAGGGGAGUGGCAGGUAGCACGUACCCCUGCAUCUAGUGCACUGUGCUAGUGCUCUUCCUCGCCUCUGCUCUCUCCUUGCUGGCAGAAGCAGUCCYGGGCACGGUGGGUUUUAUUUGAGGGUGGAUAUUUUUUUACCAGAGGAAGAAGGGACAUUUCCUUUGCUCACUAGCACUGAAGGAAAGUGCCUGCUCCUGACCUUGCUGCAGGUGCCUGUUGAAGCUUCUUUGUGUCUGUUUCUAACUUUUGCACAGGUCUUAGGAAAGCAAAUAAAAGAAAURUUGAAAAUCUGGAAUUUCAGUCCCCCAGUGAACUGCCCUGGAGUCCAUCUACUGAGGUAUUAUGUGACCAGGAGCCACAGCUAGUUCUUCAUCCAGACUUGAAGGCUACUGGAAGCCUGAAGGUGACUGGACCCCAGGUGAGGAGCCGCUAUCCACUGCCAUCGUGGGACCGGCUGUCCCAGGACCUGUACACGGACAACAGCAUCCAAGAAGCCUUUGAUCAGCUGCGGGCUUUGCUGGAGGCCUGUUUCCUGACCCUUCUUAGGCCCUAUCUGCGUGGAUG